rnacentral:lncRNA from 1 species
GUAGACAUCAAGUUGCAAGCAGCAAGUGCAUUUUCGCCUCCGUACUUCGUUUCAAGCUGAAAUUAUCAUAGCAAGAAUGAAGCUCUACAUGUGCCUGGUUCUCUUGAUGUUCGUUGGAUGUACCUGGGGUUUCUCACUGAGGGACGACUUUGAUCCUGGGGAGAAAGAGAGAACCGUGUCAGCUCGUGUCACGCACUGGUGCUUGGUGGACGAAGAUUGCCCCUGGGAACGGUACCACUGUGAUAUUGAAGGGGGUUGGCCGUUUGGCAUGUGCAAUCCUGGCCCUCCGCAUGAAUGAAUUGAACAAUGAUUGACAGUGUUUAUCCAACAGCAAGGCUUCAUCUUGAAUAAAUUUAAAGGGUUAGAUUUGGCUUUUUUUAUUUCAAUUUCUUUUCCUGAUAAGACUUCUUUUUUAACAAUACUGGUAUCGUAUAGCAGCCAGUUAUUACAUUGAUGCCUUGACAGUGCUGAUCUUGAAAGCUUAUCAUGAUUGCAUGGGCGUCGCCAGUAUUUUUUUCUUGGGGGGUAAAAGCACACUUUCUCCCUUAAAUCCUUGUAGUUUCUCUGGCAUAUUCUCAAUUUAUCAUUUUUUCGAGGGUGUGUGGGGGACACUUACCAACCCCACCCCUAUUGACACCCCUGCAUACAUGUUGACGUUACAUACUUAGUAUGGACAUUCCUUUCUUUUCGUGCAGCUAAGACAAAACUUGUGAAAAAACCCUCAUUUUAAUCAUACUGUUAAAACUCUUUCAAACCCAAUUUGUUUUCUAUGAUUCCGUUUAUAGUGUUUCUCUUCAUUUUGCCACAGAUAAACCUAGCCUAAAAAUGCCUCUAAACCUGUUUUGCAGAGAG